GACGAACGCUGGCGGCGUGCCUAAUACAUGCAAGUAGGACGCAGUUGCGAACGGGUGAGUAACACGUAGGUAAAUACAUAUUAGAGGGGGAUAACUAUUGGGAACGCACGCUAAUACCGCACACUAGCAGAUGGACCUGCGUUGUAUUAGCUAGUAGGUGGGGUAAGGGCCUACCUAGGCAACGAUACAUAGCCGACCUGGUAGGGGUAUCGGCAAAACUGGGACUUGGACACUGCCCAGACUCCGGCGGGAGGCAGCAGUAGGGAAUCUUCGGCAAUGGGUGAAAGCCUGACCGAGCAACGCCGCGUGAGUGAAGAAGGUUUUCGGAUCGUAAAGCUCUGUUGUAAGAGAAGCGGUAUCUUACCAGAAAGCCACGGCUAACUACGUGCCAGCCGCCGCGGUAAUAC
rnacentral:rRNA from 1 species